AUGACAUGUAGGAACCCCUUCAUGAUGAACAUUGGAGCACGGACGGUGGUAGAUAAGAUCGAUGGAGAUGUCAACAUGAUACCUCUCCACCACUUUGAUUUUGUUGAUUUUGGUGAUGUUCCUCCUUUGAUGGGCUGCAACAGUAGCUCAUUGACAGAUGUUAUUGGCCAAGUAGUAGAAGUUUGGCCCAUACAGCAGGUCCCCAAAAAACUCCGCAUGAUAGAAUGUUGCAGCUUACGGGUUGAGGAUUUCAGUGGAAAGGAAUUGGAUGUCACACUGUAUGGAAAGCUCGGUCAUGAUUUUUAUGCAGAGGUUCGCAAGAAAUGCCGACAAGAUCCUGUUGUUGCUGUGUUCGCAGCGAUGUGUGUUUGCCACUACAAGGGAAAAGGAUACACAGUUCGCUCUUCAUCAGCUUCAAAGUACUACCUAGAUUUGGAAAUACCAGAAGCACAACAAUUCCGCACGAAUUGGCAUCAUCCAAAAAAACCCAUAGUGCACCUCCAUUUGCAGCAAGCAAGCUCUGUAGAUCCAACUCAGGAGUCACAAAGUAUUUCGCAGCGAGCCCAGGAGUUACAAAGUAGCUGGAGAACAAUCAAACAGCUGCAAAACAUCGAUCCAUUUGGGUUACCGAAGGAUGCCAAAUUUUUGUGCACAGCCACCCUGAAAGAGAUAGACUGCACUCAAGGUUGGUACUACCUUGGAUGCGUCCACUGCAGACAGUCGAUCGGCAGGGACGGAAGCGAAUUCUGGUGCAGCCAGUGUGACCCAGUGAACAAGAAGCGGAAGAGGCCGGAAUUACGGUAUAAGCUAAAUGCAGUGGUGGAGGAUGACACUGGCACCAUGAACUUGAUGAUCUUUGCGGAGGAGGCGGAGGGACUGAUCGGUAUCGCGGCAGAACUUCUCAAAGAGAUUGCCGGUGAUGACAGGUGCACCAUGCCAGAUGCAAUCUCAAAUAUUCUUGGCACGACCCACACCUUUGAAGUUGCCAUGGACAACCGGAGCUUGAGCUUCGUGGUGAAAUGGGCCCUGGACAACGAUGAGUUGACACUGCUGCAGCACAGUGGGUCAGUUCAGUUGACAGUAGGAGGCGACAACAAUCAUUUGCUGAAGGAAGAGGACUAUUCGUUGGUGUCUGGUUGCAGCUCACAACUUAUGGAGGAGAAGAUGGUAAUCAUCAAACAAGAAACCGAGCUGAAGGCCGUAGAUGAGGCAGAUGCAGAAUGA
rnacentral:rRNA from 1 species